GUUCGGGGUAGGAACUGAGGCGGGUUCAGCCCCGAAAACAAAAGCUGAUAAACUGCGCUUCCUCUUAGAUUCCAAACACUGACCCGGCGCAACAAGCAUGUGGCAGGGUCCCUGGUUCGUGGUGCUGCUUUUCAGCUGUAGAAGCGUGGCUCAGACCCUGACCCAGUCCCAGCCAUCGAUUACGGUAUCUGUCGGGAAAGCUGUGAGCGUUCGGUGUCAAGUGAAAGAUAUCUCCGUCAGCAGCAGCGAUCCCCUUCACUGGUACCAACAGAAACCCGGCAAACCGCUCCAAAGGAUACUCUACUAUGGAGAUAGCGUUACUCGCGAUUCGGAAUUCGGAACAUCCUUCAACGCGGUAAAAACGUCAGAUACCCAAUUCUUUCUCACAAUCGAAGUUAACGCUGAAAGCGCUGCCACCUAUUACUGCGCCUACUGGGUUUACACAGUCCGAGGGUUCGAUUGGCAUUGA